rnacentral:rRNA from 1 species
CGUGGCCACGCCUGUCCGAGGGUUG